GGUUGAAAUUAAAGAAGUAUUUUGUGGCUUUGAGAAGUGACUGAAGGGAGGCUUUUUGAAUGUUUGAAUCAAAUGAGUCAACUGCUUUGCAAAUGAUUCACUUAAUUUGUUUUGAAGCGCUGAACUGCUUUGCUAAAAGGAGCAGAAUUAUGAAACGAAUCUACAAAGGUGUGGUGGUUGGGUGGAGGCAUGCUGAGGACCAGCAGCUUCAGUCUCUCCACCUUAUCCUCGUGAUCAGACAGUUCUACAGGACACAGAAGCACUGAAUCAUUUCUAAUGAAUCAUUUAUCGUUCAUCUCCUCUGGUUUCCUCGCCAUCACUCACUGACGGUCUCCACAAUGUCCUGGAAGAAUUCGUAGGGCACGAGAGGCUCGGGCAGCUCCCUGAAGAACAGCUUGAGCGCUCCGGUGAUGACGUGGAUGUCCUCCCACUGCGGGUCGUCCAGAUCCAGACGCUCUGCAGGAAAAACAGAGAGCAUGUGAGUCGUGAAUGCUGUGCCACUCACAGAGAUGCUGCAUGUUUUUAGGCAUCAUGCUGCAGGAAAAGAUCUGCAGAAGUAGAAGGUCAAAGGUCAAGAAAAGGUGAAGAAGCAAAUCAACAGAGAUCAUUUGAUUAAAGUUUCUCUCUUGCAAACCUCAAUAA